rnacentral:rRNA from 1 species
UACGGGGGGGGCAAGCGUUGUUCGGAAUUACUGGGCGUAAAGGGUUCGUAGGUGGCCUGCUAAGUCAGACGUGAAAUCCCUCGGCUCAACCGGGGAACUGCGUCUGAGACUGGCGAGCUUGAGUGCAGGAGAGGAACGCAGAAUUCCAGGUGUAGCGGUGAAAUGCGUAGAUAUCAGGAGGAACACCGAUGGCGAAGGCAGGUCUCUGGGCCACUACUGACGCUGAGAAGCGAAAGCAUGGGGAGCGAACAGG